UGCUGGCUUCUGGGUGACCCUGAUCCAAGAGCAGGUGACACAGGAAAGCCAUAGCUUAAGCCAAAGGCAGACAAGAGUGCGGAGAGUCUCCCCCUCUUUCCUCCUCGCUGUGCGAGACCUGAACGACAGGUGACCAGUGCAAUCUACAGCCCUGGUUCACUGGACUCUUCGGAGUGAAUGUUGUCCAUUCCGGAAGUUUCCUCAGACCCACUUACUGAUCGUGUUUUUAUUCGGUUUCGGUCUAGGGAACACAUCAAGCUUCAUGCUCACCAUGGAACCCAUGAAGGGGCAUUGCCUUAGCUGUGGAGGCGCAGGAGGAGGAAGUAGGGCUGGUCAGGCCGGUCCUUCAUGCUUGAAAAUGGCAGAAGAACCCUGAAUGUCCAGGCUUGGAUUUCCGCUCAUCUCUCAGGAAUCAAACCAACACGGACGACAAAACGUCUCCAAGCCAUGCGGCUCCAGGAAAAGACUGCAUUUAACUCCGUGACAGUGCAUCUGCUGGGGUAAUGGAGCUUGGCAAGCAGGCUCAACUGGGUCUUAUUCAUCCCGUGACCCUGCCCUCCAGCCCCGAGACCCCCCAACUCUACAGCUUCCACUGCUACAGUAGAGGUGCCCUGCACAGCAACCUGAGAAUGUCUGUGAUGAUUUUCUUUAUUCACAUUGCCAAGAAAAAAUAUCAAUGAACAA